CGAAACCGAUAGCGAACAAGUACCGUGAGGGAAAGUUGAAAAGUACUCUGAAUAGAGAGUUAAAUAGUACGUGAAACCGCUUAGGGGUUAAGCCCGAUGAACCCGAAUAUCUGAUGUGAGAAAUUCAAUACGAUUCAAAUUCAAUUUUUAUAUUGGAUUUGUAUAGUAUGCACUUUUCUCAUAGUAAGACAUUGUAAUCCAUUGAUAUUAUAUCUCAUAUGAGAUGAUUUAACAUACGGACAAAAUGUUUAUGAUUAUUCUAUCAGUGAUAUGUUUACAUAUCAUAUGAAUAAAAUCGUUUUGUUUCCCGUUUAAAUGGUCGAUGGAUUUUUCAUUGAAAUCAUGCUUGCAAUUUAUUUUGCGUUUCGUAUCAUUAAUUUUUAAUUGGUGAUAGCAGAAAUGGCAUGUAUUCGAUUAACAAUGCGAUAGAUUUGGGAUACUUUCAGGACCCGUCUUGA
rnacentral:rRNA from 1 species